UGGCGGCAGGCCUAACACAUGCAAGUCGAGCGGUAGAGAGAAGCUUGCUUCUCUUGAGAGCGGCGGACGGGUGAGUAAUACCUAGGAAUCUGCCUGAUAGUGGGGGAUAACGUUCGGAAACGGACGCUAAUACCGCAUACGUCCUACGGGAGAAAGCAGGGGACCUUCGGGCCUUGCGCUAUCAGAUGAGCCUAGGUCGGAUUAGCUAGUUGGUGAGGUAAUGGCUCACCAAGGCUACGAUCCGUAACUGGUCUGAGAGGAUGAUCAGUCACACUGGAACUGAGACACGGUCCAGACUCCUACGGGAGGCAGCAGUGGGGAAUAUUGGACAAUGGGCGAAAGCCUGAUCCAGCCAUGCCGCGUGUGUGAAGAAGGUCUUCGGAUUGUAAAGCACUUUAAGUUGGGAGGAAGGGCAGUUACCUAAUACGUGAUUGUCUUGACGUUACCGACAGAAUAAGCACCGGCUAACUCUGUGCCAGCAGCCGCGGUAAUACAGAGGGUGCAAGCGUUAAUCGGAAUUACUGGGCGUAAAGCGCGCGUAGGUGGUUUGUUAAGUUGAAUGUGAAAUCCCCGGGCUCAACCUGGGAACUGCAUCCAAAACUGGCAAGCUAGAGUAUGGUAGAGGGUAGUGGAAUUUCCUGUGUAGCGGUGAAAUGCGUAGAUAUAGGAAGGAACACCAGUGGCGAAGGCGACUACCUGGACUGAUACUGACACUGAGGUGCGAAAGCG
rnacentral:rRNA from 1 species